rnacentral:rRNA from 1 species
UACGAAGGGGGCUAGCGUUGCUCGGAAUCACUGGGCGUAAAGCGCACGUAGGCGGAUUGUUAAGUCAGGGGUGAAAUCCUGGAGCUCAACUCCAGAACUGCCUUUGAUACUGGCGAUCUCGAGUCCGGGAGAGGUGAGUGGAACUGCGAGUGUAGAGGUGAAAUUCGUAGAUAUUCGGAAGAACACCAGUGGCGAAGGCGGCUCACUGGACUGGUAUUGACGCUGAGGUGCGAAAGCGUGGGGGGCAAACAGG